rnacentral:rRNA from 1 species
UACGUAGGGGGCUAGCGUUGUCCGGAAUCAUUGGGCGUAAAGAGCGUGUAGGCGGUCCGGUAAGUCCGCUGUGAAAACUCGAGGCUCAACCUCGAGACGUCGAUGGAAACCAUCUGGCUAGAGUCCGGAAGAGGAGAGUGGAAUUCCUGGUGUAGCGGUGAAAUGCGCAGAUAUCAGGAAGAACACCCGUGGCGAAGGCGGCUCUCUGGUACGUGACUGACGCUGAGACGCGAAAGCGUGGGGAGCGAACAGG